UACAGAGGGUGCAAGCGUUAAUCGGAAUUACUGGGCGUAAAGCGCGCGUAGGCGGCUGAUUAAGUCGGGUGUGAAAGCCCCGGGCUCAACCUGGGAACUGCAUUCGAUACUGAUCGGCUAGAGUAUGAGAGAGGGAGGUAGAAUUCCACGUGUAGCGGUGAAAUGCGUAGAUAUGUGGAGGAAUACCGGUGGCGAAGGCGGCCUCCUGGUUCAAUACUGACGCUGAGGUGCGAAAGCGUGGGGAGCAAACGGG
rnacentral:rRNA from 1 species